rnacentral:rRNA from 1 species
AGGCAGCAGUGAGGAAUAUUGGUCAAUGGGCGGGAGCCUGAACCAGCCAAGCCGCGUGAGGGAAGAAGGUACAGCGUAUCGUAAACCUCUUUUGUCAGGGAACAAAGGCGGGGACUAGUCCCCGGAUGAGGGUACCUGAAGAAAAAGCAUCGGCUAACUCCGUGCC